rnacentral:rRNA from 1 species
GAUGAACGCUGGCGGCGUGCCUAAUACAUGCAAGUCGAGCGAACAGACGAGGAGCUUGCUCCUCUGACGUUAGCGGCGGACGGGUGAGUAACACGUGGAUAACCUACCUAUAAGACUGGUAUAACUUCGGGAAACCGGAGCUAAUACCGGAUAAUAUAUUGAACCGCAUGGUUCAAUAGUGAAAGACGGUUUUGCUGUCACUUAUAGAUGGAUCCGCGCCGCAUUAGCUAGUUGGUAAGGUAACGGCUUACCAAGGCAACGAUGCGUAGCCGACCUGAGAGGGGGAUCGGCCACACGGGAACGGAGACACGGUCCAGACUCCUACGGGAGGCAGCAGUAGGGAAUCUUCCGCAAUGGGCGAAAGCUUGACGGAGCAACGCCGCGUGAGUGAUGAAGGUCUUCGGAUCGUAAAACUCUGUUAUUAGGGAAGAACAAAUGUGUAAGUAACUAUGCACGUCUUGACGGUACCUAAUCAGAAAGCCACGGCUAACUACGUG